UACGAAGGGGGCUAGCGUUGCUCGGAAUCACUGGGCGUAAAGGGCUCGUAGGCGGCCAACUAAGUCAGACGUGAAAUCCCUAGGCUCAACCUAGGAACUGCGUCUGAUACUGGAUGGCUUGAAUCCGGGAGAGGGAUGCAGAAUUCCAGGUGUAGCGGUGAAAUGCGUAGAUAUCUGGAGGAAUACCGGUGGCGAAGGCGGCAUCCUGGACCGGCAUUGACGCUGAGGAGCGAAAGCCAGGGGAGCAAACGGG
rnacentral:rRNA from 1 species